GAUGAACGCUAGCGGCAGGCUUAACACAUGCAAGUSGAGGGGUAUAGUAGCAAUACUAGAGACCGGCGCACGGGUGCGUAACGSGUAUGCAAUCUACCUUUUACAGCGGGAUAGCCCAGAGAAAUUKGGAUUAAUMCCACAUAGUAUAUAUGAGKGCCAUCACUUAUAUAUUAAAGUUACACCGGUAAAAGAUGAGCAUGCGUCCCAUUAGCUAGUUGGUAAGGUAASGGCUUMCCAAGGSGMSGAUGGGUAGGGGUCCUGAGAGGGAGAUCCCCCCCACUGGUACUGAGMCMCGGCCCAGACUCCUMCGGGAGCCACCAGUGAGGAAUAUUGGCCAAUGGGSCCAACCCUGAUCCASCCAUCCSGSGUCCAGGAAGACGGUCCUAUGGAUUGUAAACUGCUUUUAUACAGGAAGAACCACCUCUASGUGUAGAGACUUGACGGUACKGUAAGAAUAAGGAUSGSCUAACUCCGCC
rnacentral:rRNA from 1 species